GAUGAACGCUGGCGGCGUGCUUAACACAUGCAAGUCGAACGGGAAUUAUUUUAUUGAAACUUCGGUCGAUUUAAUUUAAUUCUAGUGGCGGACGGGUGAGUAACGCGUGGGUAACCUGCCUUAUACAGGGGGAUAACAGUCAGAAAUGGCUGCUAAUACCGCAUAAGCGCACCGAGCUGCAUGGCUCAGUGUGAAAAACUCCGGUGGGAUAAGAUGGACCCGCGUUGGAUUAGCUUGUUGGCAGGGUAACGGCCUACCAAGGCGACGAUCCAUAGCCGGCCUGAGAGGGUGAACGGCCACAUUGGGACUGAGACACGGCCCAGACUCCUACGGGAGGCAGCAGUGGGGAAUAUUGCACAAUGGGGGAAACCCUGAUGCAGCGACGCCGCGUGAAGGAAGAAGUAUCUCGGUAUGUAAACUUCUAUCAGCAGGGAAGAUAGUGACGGUACCUGACUAAGAAGCCCCGGCUAACUACGUG
rnacentral:rRNA from 1 species